rnacentral:snoRNA from 1 species
UGCCUUUGUGUUGCCUAUUCAUUCCUGUCCAGAAUGAAUGUGGUGUCAAAAAAGGCAAACAGGAAUUCUUGCUCAAAACUGUUUAUGGAGCUGGUUAUUUACCUUUCUCCUCCCUGUUUUUGCAAGGACAAAA